UUAAUGGAAGCAUUCACAUGACAUUACCCAGAACUGUGUGGCUAGUGCCAAAGUUUUGACCUUUCCCUGUCUCCUGCAAUGCCAGCUGAAUCUCCUACAUUUUCAGAAGUUUACCUAGAACAAAUUCCUGAAAACGGUGACAGCAACUGUCAUGUUCUCUCACAGAUGCCUCACUUGCCUGCCAUGAGACUUACACAUGUGAAAGAGAAGAUCCAAGCACCAGAGGAAUAGAGACAUUAUGGUGGGGAGAAGAUACUACAUGGGUAUCAGUUUGCAGACAUCCAGGUACUCUGGUUGACUGGAGAGCAGAUUUCUAGAGACAAGACUGUGACUCAGUCACAUGGAAGCAUGUGACUGAGGAAAAGCUAGAGGAAGAAUCCAACUAGCGUGGGAGGGAGAGCUAAAUACUAGAUCUGCCAUAUUUGAGAAUGCAGAGGACAAACAAAAGAUGGGUGGACAAGAAAAGGCAUCUAGUGUUGUAAGAAGAGAGGAAGGAACAAAGGACACCGGAGUGUGAGGAGUAAUAAGAACAAUAAGCAGAAGAUGAGAGAGAGAAGGAAGGCUGAUCUGUAGAGAGAACUGAAAGAAAAUGCCAAGAAAAGUAGCUCUGUGACCUGGGGACUCUGGAUAGGG